CUAUUUACCUGCUCAUACUGACUUUGUCAUUUUUUUUUCUCCUUUGUGGGAGGGAGGAGGGAUCUUUACAUUCUUUGGCAAUGAGAAUUUGCUUGUCCCUGGGGCUAAGUGAGGUAGGUUCUCAGCACAUUUUUGAUGAAUGACUGAGGAGUACAGCCCAGUUGCUCUGUGGAGUGUGGAGCAGUACCUAGAAAAGGGCUCCAGGGAGGAGGAGGGGAGGGGCUAGUUUCUUGUUCUUCCCUCUUUCCAACCAUUUGGUCUUAGACGGUUGCUUAAGGGGGCUGAAGGGGGCAAGGAACAGCAUAAUUUCUGGAUUCUCGUGAGGCAAGGAGAAAAGCCACUAGACUCCCUGGAACCAGCGUAUGGUGGAUAUGGACGAUGGGUGACCCAGAGGCUGAUGGACUGGACCCUCACAAUGGUCAUGGACCCCAGUACUGAGCAGCAUGCUGUCAGUCUGUGGGAGCAUUCAUUCUCAUGCCUGCAAGUUCAUAUAUUUAUCCCUCCCAGACUGUCGCCAUCCACAAAAUAGUAAGUGUGAUGUAAACAGAUGCACUUGUGGGAGCCAGUCCUCUUCUACCAUAUGGGUCUUAUGAAUAGAAACC
rnacentral:lncRNA from 1 species